rnacentral:rRNA from 1 species
GAUUUCUGGUUCGGCGCAAUAGGCCCGCCUCGGUUCACGAGGUUGCGUGCCGUUUGCGCCAUCCAUCCUUCGAGAAAACACUUCUGCCCUUCACUGGGUUGGAUGUGCUAUCUCGAUCUUUUACUUUGAAAAAAUUAGAGUGUUUCAAGCAGGCUUUAUGCUAUGAAUACAUUAGCAUGGAAUAAUAAUUUAGGACUUCGGUUCUAUUUUGUUGGUUUCUAGGACUGAAGUAAUGAUUGAUAGGGAUAGUUGGGGGUGCUAGUAUUCAGCGGCCAGAGGUGAAAUUCUCGGAUUCGCUGAAGACUAACUUAUGCGAAAGCAUU